GCGCCGCGCCCGCACCCAACGCAACCCAAUCCCCUCGUCCUGCCUGCACGCCGUGCACACUCCGGUCACCUCAUCCCGCACGAACUCUAGGAGAGAGAGAGAUAUGAAGAUGAGAGGGAGAGAAAGGGGAGAGGAGAGGAGAGGGAGGUCCGGCAGCGGACGGGAGAGGGUGACCGGCCGGCGUCGGCCUACACCGGCGAGGCGUCGGCCUGCGCCCCGCCUCCUCGCUGCUCCAUUUACUCCACCUAUUUCUCUUCGGCUGCCGGCCUCCCAGCCGCCCCCACCCCCGCACCUCACAACGGCAUUUCCUGAGGAGCAGCCCGAGCGAGGCCAACAGGCGGAAGGAGCGGAUCAUGGCCUCGCACGCUGGCUCGUCAUCUGCUUUGGCACCUUUCGGAUCCGCGCUGCUGCGUGCGAUGGUUCUAAAUCAGUGCAGGUCGUCGCCGCGGGAUAGUAGGGCCGGCGGAUUCUUCGCAUCGGGGGCUGGCUGGCAAGGGAGGGUCAGGAGGCCGGCAUGACUUGCUAACGAGUAGAGGUUGAUUAUCUUGCCAUCCUCUCCUGCGUCCACUGUCGCGCCGUUCUGCCUUCGGCGAUUAAUUGAGCUGGUUCUAGGAUCUCCUUUGUUGCUGCAUCUUGAUCUCCUGCUUUGCUGUAACUAUGUUCUGCUGCUUGAUGAUGGAGCAGCAGGCAUAGAUGAAAUCUACUGCCAAUUUCUAUUGGUUGCGGCAUCUUCCGCUGAGUAACUCUACAAAACAGCCUGCUAGCAUUGAUUCUUGCAAUAAAAAAAUAAGUCUGGCAUCAUUCAUGAAAAGCUUAUAGACUUAGAUAAUUUCUUAAUCCUGCACUGGUUCUCACCAGUGAGAUUGUAGAUGUGGUAUUUUGAGAAUACUAGUGUAAUUCACUGGUCCAAAAGCUCCAUUUCUUAAUGUGUUUUUGCAGAAUGCUACCAGUAAUGUUUUUCUUUUCCUUAAUGUACAAACAUAUCUAUUAGAUAUGAUUUUGGAUCUGAACUUUUCCCUGUCUGCAGCUCACAUUGUGGUAUGGUCAUGGUACAGCAAAAGGAAAAGAUGUUUAAACUUUUUUUGGGCGUCAUACAUGAAAAGUACCUUUAUUUCCAUCGAGCUUAAUUACUAAGAAAAUGUUACCACUAUGUCCUUACUAAUAAACCUAAAUGUUCUGAAAGUUCGGUCUCUUGCUCUCUUUGCUUAUGAAUCGGACACUUUCCCUUUCUUUAGUCCUUACACGGUUCCACCUCGCUUUGACUUCAUACUUUGAUGGUGUUUGUAGGUAUGAAGAGUGGUCAUAAUGUUACUUAAAGGAGGCCUCAACUUGCACCAAAUACAUGGGCAUGUGCAACAGCAACUUAUGUAGGUUUCUAAAAUCUAAUAAAUGCUGCUCUCAAAUCAGUUAGGAGGCUGAAGGUAGUAGCUUACUGAACUCUCAUUUCCGGAAAAAUCUGGAGAUGUCUUGGUACGGAGUUUCAUGAUCAACUUGCUCCGGCAUAGUUAGUCUUUCUAGACUAAUUGUUUGUCAGUAUCUAUUCUAUACAUGUGUUUGAUUGGUUGUGCAAACAUGCAUGCAUUGUUCUGUGUGGAAAUUGCUUUAUCCGGUCUGUUCUAUAGCAAUGUUUCCAGUGGCUGUUUAACACAUAUAUUUAGAUAGUUGCAUACGCAUGCUUGGUUCUGCCAGAAAAUUAUCUUCCCUGAUAUGUUUUCAGAUGCUAUUUGGUAUACAUGUUUGUCUUUGUCAUCUUUAUGUUGAGUUGUGGGUUCCAAAGAUAUUUAUGAUGAUUGUUUGCAUGGUGGGUCAUGUCAGCGAUGUGCGUUGCAUAUUCAUGAUUCAAACUCUUUGUUGGGUAUAUAUCUAUAUGAAGUUGUUUUUGAAUGGCCCAUGAUUCGUUUUUUAUUAGUAUUUUAGUUUAAGCAUUUCUCCAGAGAAUCUUGAUAUCCAGCUGUAUAUAUAUCCAGUCAUGUUUUUUUACUCUGACCGAUUUCUUUUUUUGUUUUGUUUUACAGUUUGUACAAUCUCUAAAGAUGGUGCUCCAUUGUUCUGUUAAUCAAGAUUUGUUCCCUCCUUUCUUACUAGCUGAUACAUGAUGACCGUUUGCAUGGGGGGUUAUGUUAACUAUAUUCUAUUCAUGAUUCAAACUGUCUGUUGGGUAAUUUAGUUUAGACAUCGUGUCCUGAGAAUCUUGAUAUCUAGCUGUAUCGGUAUAGUAUAGUUUGUGAUUUUUCCCUCUGAAUUUAUAUAUCCACUCAGGUUGGGAUAGGUUAUGAGUAUUCUUAGUGUGGAAACAGCGGCAGUGCUGCACUUUCAUCAGAUGAUGAUAUGCCAACCUUGCGCCAUUUGGCUCUAUGUUACCCGAAUAAGAUAACAAAAUACACAUGCUCAAGUAUAUAUUUUUAAUACCCCCUGAUGAUGCCUCAUUUCUUCAGAAUUUGAGGCUGUUCUUGAUAUGCCAGGUAGGUCCGGCUAUCGAGUCAACAAUUAUAUUUUGUAGUGUGUGAUGAUACAUUAAUAGUCACACUUGAAUGUGUUACCUAAACCUGUCUUGCUUUUGUAUUUCAUCCUCCUUUGAACCAUCCAAUGACUUGUUCACUACAAAUGAUAAGUGUGAGGUGUACAGAAACCUGCACCUUAUAUUCUUGUCUUGCUUUUGUAUUAUAUCCCCCUUUGAACCAUCCGAUGACUUGUGCACUACAAACGAGAAGUGUGAGGUGUACAGAAACCUGCACUUCAUAUUUCUUACAUUCCUGUUUUAUUUAAUGUCUGAGCCUCUUUAUAUUGCUUACAUAUGUGAUUUAUCUAAUCUCUGAGCAAGUGUGACUGUUUAUAAUUGGGUUAAUAAGCCCAGUUGUUUGAAGAAGCAAUUUGCAUUCCAUAUUUUAGGAUUGUACUAAUUCUUCUAUCCGUUUUUGAUUUGCCCCUGCCAUUGUAGAAUUAUGAGUGGGUUGACUUUUCUUGACGUGUAUUUUAUACAACGAGCAACUACCUUGUGCCGUCUUCCAGCCACCAACAACCCCAUGACCCUGCAUCAGGACAAAUUUGAUUUUGGGAAGACAAAGGUCUGACAAGGAUGAUAAUGGGAUACCAGAUUACAACGACGGAGGCUCGGACAUGGAUCUGCUCAUGCUCUCAGCGGGAAUACUGGAUGUUCUCGAAGCUUUUCCAUACACACGUGCUACUUUUGGCACUUGCGUGGGCUCCAGUUUGUGUCAAUGCAAUUUGCAUCUGUCAGCGGAUUAUGGCGAGCUUGGUUAUUGGCCUACAGGAAUGUUUGUGUAUGGAUGUCACAAAAUUGUUAUGCAGAAAAUAAGAGUGUAGUACAUUUCAGAGAUACAAGUAUCUUGUUCAGUUUAGUCAGAGCACAUGCAAACAAGUAGUUCCCUAGGGUGGAGGCCUUCCACUUGCUUUUGCUAGCUAUAUGAAAUAGACUGAACCUGAACCUAACUACGAUUGGAUGUCUAAGCUGAAUUGUUGCAUCCUUAGACAUGGAAUUAUGGAUCAAUUUUAGCUCUCAA